CUACUCUGGACCACGGUGACCUUUUAAAUAUUCUGCAAAUUGAUUUCCAGGCCAUUCCCACUCUCCCUUGUUUAUAGCCUUGGUAACCCAGAAGAAAAUGAGACUGGCCAGCUGUGAUUCCUGCAUUUCUGUUCUCAUCAGUGCUCAGAAUUACAUUUCUUUCUCUCCCAAAGGCUUCAUGACAACGCUUACUGUUGAUCUAGAGAGCAGCAGCACCAAGAAUCUUCAAUAAGGACAAGUUUAAGAGCUAUAAGCAGUUGUGUGGACUCCUUAGAGCCUUCUGCCUGAGAUGAUGCUGCCAGAGGGCCCUUGCCAGAUAUUGCCACCUUGAUAUUAGACUUCCCAUCCUCCAAAACUGGUAGUGUCACUAGCAGAGCAAUCUCCAGUUCAUAUGGGUGGUGACAGAAGAGGGAUCCUGCAGCAUCAAGGGCUCCUUUGCAAUGAUUUCUGUCUAGAUGGCAAUCAUGAGGGGCCUUGUUUUUCUGCUUUGUGUGUGAGUGGGAACGUGUGUCAGCAUCAACCUUGCAUUUAUCAACAACAUCCUCAUUUUUGUUUGGCGAGGUGGUGAGGGAUCCAUGCAGGAGGAAAUGAAGUGACUGCAUUUAUCUCAAUGUUCCCAAGGGUCAGGUAAGGUGCUCUCAUGCUAUGGUAUAUGACAAGGUGGGUGACAUUUAAUGAAUAAAUAGACAACCUUUUAGAGGAAUCAGUGCUGCUUCUCACAUGAAUCAAUGACCGAGUCAAUUGUUAUAAG
rnacentral:lncRNA from 10 species